rnacentral:rRNA from 1 species
CCCCUAGAUGUUCUGGGCCGCACGCGCGCUACACUGAACAGUUCAACAAGUCUUAACCUUGGCCGAUAGGUCUGGGUAAUCUUUGAACGCUGUUCGUGAUUGGGAUAGACCUUUGCAAUUAUGGGUCUUCAACGAGGAAUUCCUAGUAAACGCAAGUCAUCAGCUUGCAUUGAUUACGUCCCUGCCCUUUGUACACACCGCCCGUCGCACCUACCGAUUGAAUGGUCCGGUGAAGCGUUCGGACCGUGGCCUUUGGACGGUUCGCCGUCUGUUGGCUGCGGGAAGUUCGUUAAACCUUAUCAUUUAGAGGAAGGAGAANUCGUAACA